rnacentral:rRNA from 1 species
GACGAACGCUGGCGGCGUGCUUAACACAUGCAAGUCGAACGAAGUGGCGAACGGGUGAGUAAUACGUCGGUAACCUGCCCUCCUUUUUGGGAUAAGCCUUGGCAACGGGGUCUAAUACCGCCUCUAGGGGGAUGGGCUCGCGGCCUUUCAUAUUGUUGGUGGGGUGAUGGCGUAACAGGGCGGUGACGGGUAGCGGGCGUGCGAGGGUAACCGGGAACAGAGGGACGGAGAUACGGCCCAGACACGUACGAGGGGGAGAAGUGGGGAAUAUGGAAGAAUGGGCGAAAGGCGGAGGCAGCGACGCCGAGAAGGGGGUGGGGGCGUUCGGGUUGUAUACCUCGGUAGAUAUCGAAGCGGUAGGUGAAGAAGAAGCGCCGGCUAACUACGUGCCAGCAGCCGCGGUAAUAC